GGGGGCGUAGCUUAGAUGGUAGAUCGCUCACCUAGCAUGCGAGAGGUACGGGAUUCGAUAUCCUGCGCCUUCA